CUGCUCUCCCUCCAGCAGCACAUAUACUAAAAUUGGAACGAUACAGAGAUUAGCACAGCCUCUGCACAAGGAUGGCAUGCCAAUUCAUGAAGUGUUCCGUAUUUUU
ensembl:snRNA U6 U6 spliceosomal RNA